rnacentral:rRNA from 1 species
UACGUAGGGCGCAAGCGUUAUCCGGAAUUAUUGGGCGUAAAGAGCGCGCAGGCGGUAUGACAAGUCAGAUGUGAAAGAGGCCGGCUUAACCGGCAAGGGUCAUUUGAAACUGUCAGACUAGAGUGCAGCAGAGGAUAGUGGAAUUCCCGGUGUAGUGGUGAAAUGCGUAGAUAUCGGGAGGAACACCUGUGGCGAAAGCGGCUCACUGGACCACAACUGACGCUGAGGCGCGAAAGCUAGGGGAGCAAACAGG